CCUACGGGUGGCAGCAGUAGGGAAUAUUGCUCAAUGGGGGAAACCCUGAAGCAGCAACGCCGCGUGGAGGAUGAAGGUUUUCGGAUUGUAAACUCCUUUUGUUAGAGAAGAUAAUGACGGUAUCUAACGAAUAAGCACCGGCUAACUCCGUGCCAGCAGCCGCGGUAAUACGGAGGGUGCAAGCGUUACUCGGAAUCACUGGGCGUAAAUAGCGCGUAGGCGGGAUAGCAAUCCAGAUUUGAAAUCCUAUGGGUUAACCAUAGAAGUGCAUUUGAAACUGUUAUUAUAGAGUAUGGGAGUGGUAGGUGGAAUCCUAGGUGUAGGGGUAAAAUCCGUAGAGAUCAAGAGGAAUACUCAUUGCGAAGGCGACCUGCUAGAACAUAACUGACGCUGAUGCGCGAAAGCGUGGGGAGCAAACAGGAUUAGAUACCCCAGUAGUC
rnacentral:rRNA from 1 species